rnacentral:rRNA from 1 species
UGGGGAAUAUUGGACAAUGGGCGAAAGCCUGAUCCAGCCAUGCCGCGUGUGUGAAGAAGGUCUUCGGAUUGUACAGCACUUUAAGUUGGGAGGAAGGGCAGUAAGCGAAUACCUUGCUGUUUUGACGUUACCGACAGAAUAAGCACCGGCUAACUCUGUGCCAGCAGCCGCGGUAAUACAGAGGGUGCAAGCGUUAAUCGGAAUUACUGGGCGUAAAGCGCGCGUAGGUGGUUCGUUAAGUUGAAUGUGAAAGCCCCGGGCUCAACCUGGGAACUGCAUCCAAAACUGGCGAGCUAGAGUAGGGCAGAGGGUGGUGGAAUUGCCUGUGUAGCGGUGAAAUGCGUAGAUAUAGGAAGGAACACCAGUGGCGAAGGCGACCACCUGGGCUCAUACUGACACUGAGGUGCGAAAGCGUGGGGAGCAAACAGG